CUGUUCAAGGCACAUGUUUCAGUGCAAAGUAGCUUUCUGUACAGCCAUCUGUGAUUGUUCUGCCAUUACUAAAAGAAUUGUGUGCUUGCAUAGUGUGUGAAAUGCUGGAGGACAUAGGAAGAUGUGCUUUGAAGGCACCUUGCACCCACUGUCAGUGAAGUGUUCUGGAUGGACCCUGAGGGCUUAAUCUCUGCUUUGGUUCCUGAGAGUAGGACUUCUCCUCUGCGUGUUCUCAGUGCAACAUUGGAUUUACCUGAACAGCCUGGAUUUGGUCUGUGCUUUGCAUUUCUUCUGGGACAGAUCUGUGACUGCAAGUUGGACUUCCAGUCUUUGACAAACAUGGACAUACCAGCAAAAUGGUUUUUUGUACUGGUCAUACCCCUUGAAGAAGACUGCUCUUAUAGCAACUAAAUGCUGCAGUGUAGGGAGUUUCAAUUGCAGAGUACAUAUCUUACUGUAUUUUUUUCAGAUGGGCUGUGACCACAGUCUUCUGCUUCAUCUAAGGGAAAGUAUUAUUUUGGUUUGAAAGUAGUGGAAGAAUCUCUAUUAAUUUUCAAGUGCAAAUGAUAAAAUACAAACAAUUUAUUUCCCUUUACUCAUGUGGUAUAACAAGGUCUGAUUUAAAAUCUUUAGCAGAAAUCUAUUGCCAAAUUUUCAGGAUGAGCAACAGCAGAAAAAAUCAGUAUGCUAAAAACCAAAACAUUUCUUGUUGACUUAAGAAGCUCGUUAAAGUCUCAUUUGGGCCUGGUCUGUCGUUUGGUAUAAUCUGCGCAGUUAAGGCAUAAAAUGAUAUAAAUAUGGACUGGAGCCCAACCUCUGCACUUUCAAGAGCCAGUCCUACUUCAUUGGCUUCAAAGAAACCUAAAGAAUGAAACUGGAAUAGAGUGCCCUACAGGCUAGGCAAAUACAUGGAAAAUUUGUGCAACAUUCCAGGUUCAGUGAAGGAAAGCCAGCAGCAAGAAGAAGGUGUUCACCCAUUACCAUGAGGGAAAUGAAUGGUAUAUACCAGGCAAACAAUUUCACCUCCCUCACCUCAAAGAGAAAAUAGCCACAGGAGGUGCAUCCUUGGUGUAAGCACAUCUUCCCAGAUGAGAGGACUGGAAUAAUGAGCAGCUCUACUAAAAUCCCUGCAGGUGUGUGAAACAGCAUGUGAACUCUUCCCAAGAAAGUCAAGUUCAUGUUGGUGGAAAGGGAAUUUAAGUGGAAUCCCUGAUAAAAACCUACUGGACCUACAUCCCACAUAAGGCCUGCUGACUGGGUGGAACCGAAAGGUGAAGAAGCACACAUACAUAAUCCAUCAGUUGGUUUGACGUGUGUGGGGUGGCUUCACUUAGGUGACUUCAUGUCUCAGAGAUCUGCUGAGCCACAGUGCCAGACUGCCUGCCUCACUCAUUGCCCAGGGCUGCAAUAUUUUCUCUGCUGCCAUCAUCCCUCUGGGAGAAGGCUUUCCUUUUCAGAUGGGGUGGGAAUUUGUGGCCCAUGGGCUGCAUUGGUCUGGAGCUCUGUUCCAGAGGGCCUGCAGCCACACAAGUGGGAGGAAGGCAGACAGGCAUCUCACUAGUGCACAAAAAAUGAAUGUUAAUUAUGUUUCUAGUUAUCACAGGAGAAGUCUAUUAUCUGUGUGUCAAUGCACAGCCCACAAAGAUUGCACCAAAAUCCCAGCUAAAGCCUAGGUUAAAAAAUAAAUCUAAUCCUGUGACUGUUGAACCUCCUGUU
rnacentral:lncRNA from 1 species